AGAUUGAUGAAACACAGAAAAGAGAAAAAUAAAUAAAAAAGCCACAAAAAUAAGAAAUCUCCCUUUGUGCUGAGUCUCUUCCCUCCUUCUCCUUCUUAUUACGUUUCUUUGUUCACUCUCUAGCAAAAAUAGGCACAAAAAUAAAAUCUUUUGGGUUUUUUUCAGUCUUCUCUUUGGUGGGGUUGCUUAAUUCAAAACCCUUGUUAUCCCCUUGGAAAACCAUUUUUUUUGCUGUUGAGAUUUGCCAAUCUUGAUUUGUUUUUAUUGAAGGGAUUUGAAUCUUUAUUAGUUUUGGGGUAGUCUCUCUAGGGUUUCCUUGACUUAUCAAAUGCAAUUUACAAAGAUUUUGAUAACCCCUUUUGAUUUCUUGAUUUGUUUUCAGUUUUGUGUCAACAUUUGCUCAAUUUGAUGGUUUUAUGAUAACCCCUGUUGAUUUUCUUGGAUUAAAGAUUGGAACUUUGUUCAAAUUCUUGGCUUAAAGUUGUUGUAUUUGAGGUUGUGAAAUUGAAAUUAAAGAUUGGAACUUUGAUAAGGUAGUAUGACUAGUGUUUUCAAUGAGGAGAUACUUGCAGACAAGCUUUCAAAGCUCAACAGCACUCAGCAGUGCAUUGAAACAUUGUCCCAUUGGUGUAUCUUCCACCGAGAUAAAGCAGAGCUGGUUGUUACAACAUGGGGUAAACAGUUCCACAGUUCCGAAAUGGCUCAGAAAGUCCCUCUACUGUACCUUGCAAAUGACAUCCUGCAAAACAGCAAGCGUAAAGGAAAUGAGUUUGUCACCGAGUUUUGGAAGGUUCUUCCUGGAGCACUCAAGGAGGUUGUCGGAAAAGGCGAUGACCAUGGAAAGAAUGUAGUUUCCAGAUUGGUUAAUAUAUGGGAAGAAAGGAGAGUUUUUGGAUCUCGUACACAGAGCCUGAAAGAUACAAUGCUUGGAGAAGAGCUGCCACCGCCAUUAGAAUUUGGAAGAAAACGAAGUCGUUCUGUCAGAAUAGUUAAAAGAGAUUCGCGAUCCAUAAAAACGAAAUUGACUGUUGGAGGAACAGCUGAAAAAAUAGUGUCAGCAUUUCACUCGGUAAUCAGCGAGCAUUCUACUGAAGAUGAAGAAAUGAGCAAAUGCAAGUCUUCUGUUCACCAUGUGAGAAAGAUGGAAAAGGAUGUCGACAUGGCCCUUGCAAAAGCAAAAGAUCCAAAGAGAAAGACCUUAUCCAAAGAACUGGAGGAGGAAGAAAGUAUUUUGAAACAGUGUAUUGAGAAACUUAAAGUUGUUGAGGCAAAUAGAUUGACUCUUGUGUCACAGUUAAGAGAAGCACUAAAUGAACAGGAAUCUGAACUAGAGAACGUUCGGACUCAGAUACAGGUGGCUGAAGCACAGGCAGGGGAAGCCAGCAAUAUGCGUAAGCAUCUGGAUGACGAAGAUUUUGUGGGAGAAAAAAAGCCUUUGGCUAUAACAUCAACAUCAGCAUCAAGCAAGAAGACAGCUGCGGCAAUUGCAGCUGAGGUAGCUGACAAGCUUACAGCUUCUAGCUCCUCUCAGUAUAUCAUGUCAUCGGUCCUCUCUACAUUUGCUGCUGAGGCGGCAAAAACAGCCGGACUGUCAAAACCAGCCACCAACAAUUCUAUUUCAAAACCAGAAAAGUCUCUAUCAGAUUCAAAUGUUUUAAUGCCAGCACAACAGUUACUUAAUCCUCCCCAAAGUAACCCUUAUCAGUCAAUGAUGGUUCCUCAUCCCACAGUGCAUGGUCAAAUGCCAAAUACUCCGGGUCAAUAUCAUUCUAAUCCAACAUCCCAGCAGUAUUUACAGUCAUCAGCAGGAAUGGUGAGCCCUUAUGCUUAUGCUUUGCCAUCUGUACCACCUCCGCCAGCACCUGCAUCGUAUAUGAUGCAGCAACAAUAUGUAGUACAACAGCAACAAGUACCGUUACCUCAACAAGCUCCGCCUCCUAAUUUCCGUCCUUUAACACCUAUUCAGCCUCCUGGAAUGGUGUACUAUUCUCAACCACAUCAUUCACAAUGAGACAGUACUCUUUUCAACUGACUGUUUCUUCUUACAAAAACGGUAUCAGAACAACAAAUUUCUGGAUGUGAACAAUAGGAGGUCGUUGGACGAAUCAUGAAGAAUUCUAACCGACGUGUAGUGUUACAUACAGAGCAAGAGCGGCUGAUAGUGCAGACGGAUAAAUAGGUGUUUCUCACCUCUCUUGACGACUUGACCUCAGCACUUUUCGUCAUAAAAGGUUAUGCAGAAAUAAAAAGGCCUUUCCUAUUUGCUCAUUAAGAGAAGAUGUGUAAAUAUCUUCAGAUUAAAGACAAGAUAGUGUGAUUGCAUCAUGUCAUCUAGUAAUUUGUAUGUUGCUUUCACAAGGCGAUACCAGCAUCUUUCCAGAAUCAAGAGAAAUGUAUUGCACAUUAAAAUCUUCAAAGUAAACUGAAAAUACCAGUCGUAGGAAGCUUGUGCUAUAUUACAAGCAGGAUCAAGGCAUCAAUCUCUUCCUAUUAGGAAAAUCUUCGUUAGGAAGUAGCAUAAGAGGCAGAUCUAAAAUUUAAACUUGAUGGGUUCAAUUUUUAAGUUUUUUACUUCUUACUUAUAAACUCAUUGUAGUUUGGGGCAAGGGGGUUUCUUUGGCGAAAAAUUACAUUGUAUAUACAAGGUUAAAUUACUUUUUUAUGUAUA